GGAUGUGAGGGUGAUCUGGCUACGACAUCUGUCACCCCAUUGAUCGCCAGGGUUGAUUCAGCUGAUCUGGCUGGCUAGGCGGGUGUCCCCUUCCUCCCUCACCGCUCCAUGUGCGUCCCUCCCGAAGCUGCGCGCUCGGUCGGAGAGGACGACCUUCCCCGAUAGAGGAGGACCGUUCUUCUGUCAAGGGUAUACGAGUAGCUGCACUCCCCUGCUAGAACCUCCGAACAAGCUCUCAAGGACAUCAGAACUCCUGUUUUCACAAUGGGUGACCUGGCUAUAUCCAAGUAUCCUGUGAUUGCCCUGAUAUUCAUU
rnacentral:snRNA from 1 species